AACGAACGCUGGCGGCAUGCCUAACACAUGCAAGUCGAACGAGACCUUCGGGUCUAGUGGCGCACGGGUGCGUAACGCGUGGGAACCUGCCCUUAGGUUCGGAAUAACUCCCCGAAAGGGGUGCUAAUACCGGAUAAUGUCUUCGGACCAAAGAUUUAUCGCCUUUGGAUGGGCCCGCGUUGGAUUAGCUAGUUGGUAGGGUAAAAGCCUACCAAGGCGACGAUCCAUAGCUGGUCUGAGAGGAUGAUCAGCCACACUGGGACUGAGACACGGCCCAGACUCCUACGGGAGGCAGCAGUGGGGAAUAUUGGACAAUGGGCGAAAGCCUGAUCCAGCAAUGCCGCGUGAGUGAUGAAGGCCUUAGGGUUGUAAAGCUCUUUUACCCGGGAUGAUAAUGGCAGUACCGGGAGAAUAAGCUCCGGCUAACUCUGUG
rnacentral:rRNA from 1 species